UACAGAGGGUGCAAGCGUUGUUCGGAAUUAUUGGGCGUAAAGGGCGCGUAGGCGGCUUUAUAAGUCGGAGGUGAAAGCCUGUGGCUCAACCACAGAAUUGCCUUCGAUACUGUAGAGCUUGAGACCGGAAGAGGUAAGUGGAACUGCGAGUGUAGAGGUGAAAUUCGUAGAUAUUCGCAAGAACACCAGUGGCGAAGGCGGCUUACUGGUCCGGUUCUGACGCUGAGGCGCGAAAGCGUGGGGAGCAAACAGG
rnacentral:rRNA from 1 species